CAGGGAGUCAGUGCCGCAGGGCGGGAGACUGUGACCCACUCAUGAUCUGGAGUGGAGAGGUGUUAAAAUGCUGCCACCAGCUACAGGGAGCCUUGGGCUGAUCACCCUGCCUCUGCUUGCUCAUCCUGCAUGCUGCUAAACCAUCCCUGCCAGAGAGAGCUUAUCUGUGGGGCUCAUCACACUACUUGUGGAGAGCAAUAAUUUUCCCUUUGGGAUAGACCAGAUUGCCCCAAAUGAGACAUAUUUUCAAAGCCCUAAUUGCUUAGUGAGAAUGCCUGGGACAUACGGGACACCCACUCUCCAUCAGUGAUGUCACCCUCGCCUACUGAAUUGUGUGCUGGGUACUCAAUAUGCUUGCAGUAUUUUGUCAGGACCAAAGGGUGCAAUCCAGACCAGUGAAGGGCUCUGUCACCACCUGCCCUGCAACCUGAGGUGCCUCGCAAUUCUCUGCUGCUAUGGCCCCCAACCUGGGCCCUUCACAAACAACCAAACGGCAUGCAGGUCACACUAAGGAUGUUUGCAUUCUGAUGCCAGCUGGGACUGAACAUGCAGCUCUCCAAAGACAGCCGUCAAGUCCAGGAUCUCUGAAGGGGUCCACGUGGAAGUAUGGGGGAUUCGGGGAUGGCUACUCUAAUGGAACAAUUGUGCAACUAGCUCAGAAUAUGAUACUUAUUUCAGCAUGGAGAACACAGCCCAGAAGUGAAACAACUGUUCAUUAGUCACUACAAUAUUGCUCCACUGGGAUGUUAGGGUUUCAUUCUCAUUGUGAUGUUAAUACCAGUGUUACUCCAUUCACUUCAAAUCACAUGAAUUACACAUAGUGUGAAGAGAUAAUCUCAUCCUUUUGUAUUCAGAUGUGUGUGUAUUGGAGAUGAAAAUACAUAUACUUAGUUCUUAUAUAGUACUUUACAUUUUCAAAGUGUUCAGCAAACAUGAACUAAUUCUCCCAAAGGCUCUUUAUAGCCAUGCUAAUAUACACUACCAAUAUUUCCUCUCCCCCAACUCCCCAUUCUCCUUAUAAUGUUAAUGUGUUUGUUGUGAUGGAAGGUUUGCAUCUACUUUAUCUUCACAUUUUUUAACACAGUUUUUCAGUCCAGGUGUCAAAUACAAACAAACAUUCCUGACAUUGGUCUUGUUGAUUGAAUAUGGUGAUUUAAAACAAAUAUGUAGGUGAUACUUUGGUAUUGAAUAUUACCUCAAUGUUGAUUUUAGUAGUAUAAAGUUUGAAUGGAUGUUGCGGAGAAGAGACACAAAAUGGCCAAAUCAUAAGGGACUUCAGUGAAAAUGUGCAUUUUUAAUUCAUUUUGGGUAGAAUUUUUUCUCAUCUGAAUAGAUACCCCCAAAGCCUUUAUAUUGUUAAAAAGCACCAGUUAGGUUUGGUGAGAACACUAUAGAAUUCCCUUAGGAAAUUUUAAAGAGAACAGUAGAAUCAUGAAUAGCGCAGUCUCAAGUUGUAAUAACCUCCAACAACCAAAGGGUUAAUUCCUAUUAAUUCUGGUAGUAGAAAGGGAAAUACUGCAGCAGUGGGCCUAUGACCCCUUCUUUGUUUUAAGGGAGUCUUUCCUCUUCCAUUCUGAGGGUAUUUCCUCCACCCCCCCUUCCACCCCCCGUUUAGUUCUACAUCUGUUUCUGGAAAACAGUUAUCCUAAUUUAGAAAUCUCCUGAGUGGCUGGUGGCUUUCUGUAGGUCCUGCUAAGAGAAACAAAUCCCUCCUUGGGAAAGGGAAUAAAUAAAUAGGACAGGAUCUAUGGCAAAGUGGGAGCUACACCUAACUAAGCAAAGAGAUACUGAAAACUGCAAAUCUCAUGGUUUUCUAGGUAGCAUAUUGCCACCUAGCAGCAGUUAGGGUAAGUACCACAAACCUGACCAUUGCUUCAUAAACAAUACUCUGUGGUAGUCUGGUAGGUCCUGGUAUUGUUGUGUCACGUACAGAACUAGGUGGCAGACAAUGGAAUUAGGAAUGGAGGAACGUGGAUAGAAAUUAAUGGCACUCCUGGUUUUGGAAUUUAAGAUAUUGAUGUAUUUCAGGUUUAGAGUCCCUUGAACACGUUUGUAUCUAUUUUCUGUACAUUGUAUUAUGACAAGAGAGACUCUAAAACAACAAAAUCAUCAGAUAGGGUAGUAAAGGAUGUGGGUUUGACCUUAGUGUGUGUAGCUCUUCACUCAUGCAAGUAAUCCCAUUGAUUUCAAUACUCCCAUCAUCUCCUUUUCACACUGCAAAACCAAUACAAUUAUGGGAGUGAGGUCAUCAUCUCAAUUAACUAAAUUCCAACUGCAGGGCCAAAUUCACCAUCACUUACACCUGAGCAUCUCCAUUAUUACUGCUGAUGGCAUACCAGCCAGAAAAAACAAAGCUCGACUUUCAGAUCCCAGGCGGAGUUUGCAAGGCUGACAGUUAGAAACAUUAUUGAAAUACAAAACACAUGGAACUUUGUAACGCUAUUCCUUAUAGUCACUUUUCAUAGCAGAACACUAUUUCACAUAACAAGACAGUGGUAGAUUCCGGUUUAGCUUCAGAGAUUCCAAGACCAGAAGGGAUCACUGUGAUCAUCUAGUCUGACCUCCUGUAUAACACAGGCCAUGGAAUUCCUCCAAAUCAUUCCUAGAGCAGAUUUUUAGAAACACAUCCAAUCUUGAUUUAAAAAUGAUGGAGAAUCCACCACAGUCCUUGGUGAUUUGUUUCAAUGGUUAAUUAUGCUCACUGUCAAAAACAUGUGCCUUAGUUCCAGUCUGAAUUUGUCUAGAUUCAACUUCCAGUCAUUGGAUUGUGUUUCACCUUUCUCUGCUAGAUUGAAGAGCCCAUUAUUAAAUAUUUGCUCCUUGUGUAGAUACCGAUAGACUAAUCAGGCCAUCCUAUAACCUUCUCUUUAUUAAUCUAAAUAGACUGAGUUAUAUGCAUUUAUCACUAUUUGGCAUGUUUUCUAACCCUUUAAUCAUUCUCGUGCCUCUUCUCUGAACCCUGUCCAAUUUAUCAACAUGCUUCUUGAAGUGUAGACACUGGUAAUGGAUACAGUAUUCGAGCAGUGGCUGCACAAGUGCCAAAUACAGAUGUAAAAUAACCUCUCUACUCCUAUUUGGGAUUCCCGUUUAUACAUCUCAGGAUCCCUUUUGCCCUUUUGGCCACAGUGUCAUAUUGGGAAUUCAUGUUCAGCUGAUUAUCCCCCACAACUCUCAAAUCUUUUUCAGAGUCCCUGCUUCCCAAGAUAGAGUCCCUAUGCUGUAAGUAUGGCCUACAUUCUUUGUUUCUAGAUGUAUACAUUUAGCCAUAUUAAAAUGCAUAUUGUUUGAUAGUGCCUAGUUUACCAAGCAAUCCAGAUUGCUCUCAGUGACCUUUCCUCCUCAUUAUUUUCCACUCCCCCAAUUUCUGUGUCAUCUGCAAACUUUCAGCGAUGAUCUCAUAUUUUCCAAGUCAUAAUGUUAAAUAGGGCAAAGAACCAGUCCCUGUACAGGAGCCCACUGUAAAUACACCCACGCAAUGAGGAUUCACCAUUUAGAAUGACAUUUUAAGACGUAUUAGAUCUCAGGAAUUUCUGGAUUCCAGUCACAUUACCAUAUUCGGUUCACUAGGGAUGACCCUGACUGUCAUCAACUCUGUAUGGAAAUAUAUUGAGCACAUUAAAAUACAUACAAACAUACACACCAAGUUUGUGUCUCUUGCAUCUCACUCCUCCUUCCUCACUUCUCCUUCUGUGUUCUACAAAACUUUCAGAAAAAAGUGCACCCCACCUUUUUCUUCAAGAGCAUUAGAACCAUACAGAAAUAGGCCAAGUGAUAAAAUCAUGCAUCACUUUGCUCCAUUGCAUAUGUCAUAACUAUAAAGGGAAGGGUAACAGCCCUCCUGUGUACCAUACUAUAAUCCCUCCUGGCCAGAGACAC